rnacentral:sRNA from 1 species
AAGCUUGGGUAUCGCAAACAGCCUGGCCU